rnacentral:rRNA from 1 species
GACGAACGCUGGCGGCGUGCCUAACACAUGCAAGUCGAGCGGGGUUGAAGCGAGAGGUAACUCGAACUUCUACCUAGCGGCGGACGGGUGAGUAACGCGUGGGCAACCUGCCUCAAGGUCUGGGAUAACAGCCCGAAAGGGCUGCUAAUACUGGGUAUGCUUGUGGCCUCGCAUGGGGCUAUGAGCAAAGGGGAAACCCGCCUUGAGAUGGGCCCGCGUCCCAUCAGCUAGUUGGUGAGGUAACAGCUCACCAAGGCGACGACGGGUAGCCGGCCUGAGAGGGUGACCGGCCACACUGGGACUGAGACACGGCCCAGACUCCUACGGGGGGCAGCAGUGGGGGAUCUUGCACAAUGGACGAAAGCCUGAUGCAGCGACGCCGCGUGAGCGAAGAAGGCCUUCGGUUGUAAAGCUCUGUCUGGAGGGACGGAAGGAAGUGACGGUACCUCCGGACGGAAGGCCACGGCUAACUAACGUGCCAGCAGCCGCGGUAAGUCACGAGAGUACG